AUGUAAGAAACCAGGGAGUGAAGAGAGGGUCUUCAGCCAACGGGCUUUGUAUUUACCUCCUGCUUUGCAUAAAAGGCAGGGAGAACGGAACACCCUUUCACCUUGAGGAGAAGGUUGAGGCUGGGGUCAGCUUGAGGUGGAACACGGGAGUCUGGGAAGCAUGCCUCUUAGACACUCGUUCCCAUUCUCCUUGUGGUUUUCAUCUACAUGGCCGCCACUUGCACGUCUCUGUCCUUCCUGACCCUAAGCAAUCCUACUGUAAGAAAAACAGAGAUGCCUUCUGGUCAUCUCAGGCAGAGCAGCUUGGAACAGGAAGGUAGGCACCCUACCCAGAGGUCAGACCAAUGCCCCAGCAAUGGUGUGAAUGGCUCCUCUGUCUAGGGAAAACAUGGGGAGAAAGCGGGUGAGCUGGGGCAGAGGGUUUCGAAUAGUGAAGAACAAGGCACCCCAACCUCCAACAGAGAGGGCACAGUUAGUGCCACGCCUCAGUCAAAGCAUACCUGUGAAGUGGCUCCCCCAUUUCUUGAGGAUCCCGGCAUGAUUCAUGUGGGAAAGUGAGGGAGUCUGGAGAGGCUGAAUGAGUGGAGGAACCCAGGGGCAAGAAAGCACUUCUCCAAUGAAGAGGAGGCAGGGGCUGCAGGCUGGCAAACCUAAAAUUCCCCAGAGUCUGUAGAAUUUUGAUAAUGUCCCCCCAUCAAAGUGGAGGAUAGGAGAUAUAUGACAUUCAGAAGUUGGGACAUGUCAGGAACAAUUGUUUCUCCUACCCUGAUCCCCACCCCCCCACCCCCCACCCCCCACACACCUCCAAGGGCAGGAGCUGAGAUACUUCCUACAAGACCCACCCCAGGUAGCCAGCCGAAGUGAGUCAGUUAGGAGGGGUGUCCUCGCCCCUGGACAAACAAUGCAGAACCCUCUACCCCCUCCCCUGUGCCCUCCACGCCCGAGCCUCGGUAAUUAAAAUAUGAAUUCACCUUC
rnacentral:lncRNA from 1 species